rnacentral:rRNA from 1 species
GUUGUUUAAUUCGACGCAACGCGCAGAACCUUUACCUGGUCUUGACAUCCCGAGAAUUUUCUGGAAACAGAGAGUGCCUCGCAAGAGGAAUUCGGAGACAGGUGCUGCAUGGCUGUCGUCAGCUCGUGUCGUGAGAUGUUGGGUUAAGUCCCGCAACGAGCGCAACCCUUGUCUUUAGUUGCCAUCAUUAAGUUGGGCACUCUAAAGAGACUGCCGGUGUCAAACCGGAGGAAGGUGGGGAUGACGUCAAGUCCUCAUGGCCUUUAUGACCAGGGCUACACACGUACUACAAUGGCAGGUACAAAGGGCAGCCACUUAGCGAUAAGGCGCGAAUCCCGUAAAACCUGUCUCAGUCCGGAUUGGAGUCUGCAACUCGACUCCAUGAAGUUGGAAUCGCUAGUAAUCGCAGAUCAGCACGCUGCGGUCGAAUACGUUCCCGGGCCUU